CCUACGGGAGGCAGCAGUGGGGAAUAUUGGGCAAUGGGCGCAAGCCUGACCCAGCAACGCCGCGUGAAGGAAGAAGGCUUUCGGGUUGUAAACUUCUUUUGUCAGGGACGAAGCAAGUGACGGUACCUGACGAAUAAGCCACGGCUAACUACGUGCCAGCAGCCGCGGUAAUACGUAGGUGGCAAGCGUUAUCCGGAUUUACUGGGUGUAAAGGGCGUGUAGGCGGGACUGCAAGUCAGAUGUGAAAACCUGCGGCUUAACCGCAGAACUGCAUUUGAAACUGUUGAUCUUGAGUACUGGAGAGGCAGACGGAAUUCCUAGUGUAGCGGUGAAAUGCGUAGAUAUUAGGAGGAACACCAGUGGCGAAGGCGGUCUGCUGGACAGCAACUGACGGUGAGGCGCGAAAGCGUGGGGAGCAAACAGGAUUAGAUACCCGUGUAGUC
rnacentral:rRNA from 1 species